rnacentral:lncRNA from 10 species
CCACUGGCUAAUUUUUGGAAAUAUAAAAUCAUGCUUCCCGUUCAAGAGGUUCACUCUGGGUAUAGACGGCAUUUCUGAAAACAUGGCAUUGACUGACAUUAUUGACAGUGGACUGGGAAUGGAAAGAUCAGAGUUCUUUGCAUGGCUGAGCAUCUUACUUUUCCUUGAUCUUGGGAAGGAAGGCGCCUUCUCUGAUGGAGAUUAUCUGUCAGUGAAACUAGGUGGGUAGACCUGGAAACUUCCAGCUCCCACCUCCUAUUUAACUACAAAUCUAUAUACGUGUUCAUUUUUCCACUUUAUUUUAUUUUCUAGUCAUGAAGGCAAUUUUAUGUUUCAAAAUAAGAAUCCAUUUCCAGAGAAAGAAUUUGUUAAUUCAACUGUGCAGUUUAAAAGAUGAGGAAAAUAGUGAGUAAAGAAAAUACACAUGCAUGUGUGUACCUGCAGGCUUCCAGUACAAUACUUUCUCAGAACAAAUGUGUCAGAACUUGAAAGAAAAUGUUAUUAAAUUGCCAUGUCAUUGUCAUGCUCAACAUUCUUUCUCAAAAGGAGAGAAAGUAACCAUUGUUACUUAUUUAAUCUGUAGUAUAUUCUCAAAAUUCUAACCCUAAUGUGUAAUAGGUGUAUAUAUCAUAAUUGACCUUUGUGUGUGAUUUUUUUGCUGUUCGUUCUCCUGCUCCACUUUAAGCUGAGUACAGGUAGGCAAGGAAUCUCUCGAACACCAUUGUAUCUCUAGUGCUCUGCAGUUUCAAGUGCAUGUGCUCAAUAACUAUAUGUUGAAUCAAAUACAAUUGAAUUAAAUAGAGAAAUAGAGUCUGUGGAAUCAGGUUUUAUACCUAGACUAUGCAACUAGUGUUUGAAGUUAAGUGUGCCAGACGUUAGCCUGUGUUCAUUCCACUAAAUUGUUUUGCCUUGUAAGAUUAUUAUUUAGCACAGCCAAAUAAGUGAACUUGAGGCACUUUACAGACAGAAAAGCUCUGGUUGACCUCCCCUCCCCUCACCAAGAAGCCCAUUUUAAAUCUAGCUGACACCAACAAUUCUACCAUGGUAUGAUGAUUUUAUCCUAUGAGUGUAAGGUUCUGAUUAACAUGAAAAAUGCUAAUAACCUUGGAAGAUCUCACAUGCAUAUUAUCAGAUAUCUAUCCUUUUAUUUAAAUAAAACAUCUUAUUCCAGCAGCACAUGUUCUUUUUAGAGUUUAAAUACCAAUCACUAUGGAGAAACAGAUGGAGGAAUGAAAA